UUUAUGUGGUAAAGAAUAUCUUUCGAAAGAGGUAGGUUUUUUUAGUGUUUCAGUAUAGGAUAUUAUACAUUGCACUUAAAUUGUGUUAAUCUUUAACAGUUAAACAACUACACAAAAGCGAUCAUCGCAAUAAUAAGCAAAACUCGAAGAUUCUUAAAUAUAUUUUAAAACAUAUGAAACGACUUUUUUUUAUAACGAAAUAGCCAUUUGUUAACUACUGCAGUUUAUGAUUAUGUUUAACAAAAACUAAACAUAUGUCCAGUCUGUUACAAGGUCUAUCUAUACGAUAAAAAAAGAUAAGGACAACAAUUGCGUCACUUUAGUCAGAUACUAGAUAGCAAAAAUGAACAGCGUAUAUUCAUUAUAAGGCCAUUUCAAUUGAUAUUUUAUAGUGUGUCUUUCUAUGAUGUGAAGUUAUACAAUUGUUUCAGGUAAGGUUGAAGAUUGGUAUCUUUUAAAAGGUUUAAACUCGCUGCAUUUGUUUUCACCUGUCUUAUUAAGUCAGGAACCUGAUGUUCAGUUGUUGUCGUUUGUUGAUGUGGUUCAUAAAUGUUUUUCGUUUUUUAUAUAUAUUAGACCGUUGGUUUUUCCGUUUGAAUGGUUUUACGCUAGUCGGUUUUUUUGGGGCCCUUAAUAUAGCUUGCUGUUUGGUGUGAGCCAAAUUGAAUGCUCCGUGUUGAAGACCGUACUUCAAGUUGACCUAUAACGGUUUACUUUUACAAAUUAUGACUUGCAUUGAGAGUUGUCUCAUUGACACUCACGCCACAUCUUCUUAUAUCAGUGAAUUUAAAAUAUGUUCUAAAAUGCAGCAGCUUGUUCCAUUCUUUAGUGUUUCGUCUAACUGUAGAGUUUGAUUUCAGUUUUGAUGUUGUACCGUCUUUGUCUGUAAACACUUUAGAAAAUCUUACUCUGUCACUUUCACCAUGAACUGUCAAAAAUAUUCUUGUCAUUUUAUUUAUUUUCUUUUGUUACAUCUUUUGACAUCAGACUCGGACUUCUCUUGAACUGAAUUUUAAUGUGCGUAUUGUUAUUGUUUUACUUUUCUACAUUGGCUAGAGGUAUAGGGGGAGGGUUGAGAUCUCAUAAACAUGUUUAACCCCGCCGCAAUUUUGCGCCUGUCCCAAGUCAGGAGCCUCUGGCCUUUGUUAGUCUUGUAUGAUUUUAAAUUUUAGUUUCUUGUGUAUAAUUCGGAGUUUAGUAUGACGUCCAUUAUCACUGUACUAUUAUGCAUAUUUUAGGGGCCAGCUGAAGGACACCUACGGGUGCGGGAAUUCUUGCUACAUUGAAGACCCAUUGGUUGCCUUCGGCUGUUGUUUGCUCUAUGGUCGGGUGGUUGUCGCUUUGACAUAUUCACCAUUUCCUUUCUCAAUUUUAUUAAUUGUAAGCAUGUAUUUUGUAUUAUACUCAUAUAAUAAGUAAAGGUGAUAGUCUCUCCGUUCUAAACAAAUCAUAUGAAAUUUUAAACAAAUAAUAUGAAAUUCUAAACAAUAAUAUGAAAUUCUGAACAAAUCAUAGAAUCAUAUUCAAAACAGUGUGGCUGUGGCCAUUGAUUGACGACCUAAAUUGUCCCAUUGACUGGGACAUAUUAGGUGAACGUUUGUCUGUAACGACCACUGCUCACUGCUUACUUAUUAUAGAAUUUUAACUGUGGGGUCUCCAAAGGUUCUUAACGCCUUUAAUAUUAAAAUAAUUCGAAAAAAUAAUCAGGAAUAACUUUAUGUUUUGAUUUAUAUUAUUGAUAUAAAUCAAAACAUCGUGUUAUUACUGAUUAUUUUUUCUAAUUACUUUAUUUAGGUGUUGAGAACCUUUUGUGACCCCAUCAGUUUAAGUGUCGAACGUUCACCUAAUAUGUCCCAGUCAAUGGGAUAAUUUAGGUCGUCAAUCAAUGACCACAGCCACACUGUUUUGAAUAUGAUUCUAUAUGAAACUAAUAGGAGUGGAUACACCAAUUAUCGGGUGCCUCUUUUGACACGCAACAGUUAAAACAAUAGUCAAAAUUUUGUCUGUAUAUGUAAAAAGUUACUUCUGCUUAUUUGUCUGUACAAGUAUAUACAAAAGAUAUAAGUGUGUGUAUUUCCGUUUUUAGCAAGUUACUACUUCACUAUCUAGAAGCAACAUUCGACUAUCAUAGUAGACUAUGAAUGCAUUUUUUUUUUUUGGUUUGCCAGAAGUAUGUGGUUCUGUUAUAGCACACUAGCUUCCUCCGCUUAUAAAAUGCCUAUCAUAAUAUUGCCUAGCGAGCGUUUAAUUCAUAAAUAAGUUAAUCUCUUGUGUACAAUAUAUCUGUUGUAUAACCUCUUUAAAGUCGUACUUACAUGUAUAUAUUAUAUCUGUCUACAUGCAUUCUUUAUGAAUGUUAUUACUUUUCAGCUUAAAUAUGAAAGUCGCCAUAAUCAUCGUCUGUCUGGUUAUUUUGAACAUGUGUGAAGACACAACAUGCGCUACUGACCAAUGUACCUUAGACUGCAUACUUGGUACCAGUACCUGUAUUGGUGGUUGUGCUGGACAAGACAUAUGUCAGAUGCUGUCUUGUCAUUCAAACUGCAAAACUCAAUGCAU
rnacentral:lncRNA from 1 species